AUACGGAGGGUGCAAGCGUUACUCGGAAUCACUGGGCGUAAAGCGCGCGCAGGCGGUCUUUUAAGUUGGAUGUGAAAGCCUACGGCUCAACCGUAGAACUGCAUCCAAAACUAUUAGACUAGAGUGUGGGAGAGGAAGAUGGAAUUAGUUGUGUAGGGGUAAAAUCCGUAGAGAUAACUAGGAAUACCAAAAGCGAAGGCAAUCUUCUGGAACACUACUGACGCUGAGGCGCGAAAGCGUGGGGAGCAAACAGGAUUAGAAACCCCAGUGGUCC
rnacentral:rRNA from 1 species